CUUUGUAAAUUAAAGUUCUCUCUGCUCUCAUCGUCUUCUUCCUUGAAAGGAAAGAGGCGAUUUGUUGAUUCACUCCCGACGAAAUCAAGUUCAAGAGAAGAAAUCAAUCAAAUCUCUUGCGAGGAGAGAUCCACAGUCUCUAGAUAAGUUCUCUUCGCUUAUUUUUAUAUGAGUUUCUAGAUCUUUCUUUGCCUUUUUUGAUUUUCCCUUUUUAGGGUUUUCAAUUUCGAUUGUAUUGACUGACUCUGUUUUGUUCUUUUCAUCCUUUAGCGAUGAUCAAUCACUUCCCAGUUCCCAUGAAAUCGCCAUCUCUAGGGUUUUUGUUUCUCCGUGUUUUAUUCGAGGAAUGAAGUCGAUCAAGCCUUUGCCCGAGGGUGUUCAUCACUCCAAGCGUUCUGGAACCCGUGGUUCAACAGUCUCGUUGCUGGUGCGACAAAAGUCAAAUUCUCCCCUUGUACUUCGAUUUCUUCUGAUUGAUCUCUCUAUAUUCAGGUUUCUCCUAUCUUCGUGGUGUUGUUUCGUGCUCUGUCAAGGAUCAGGCGUUUCCAAAGAUGAUUUGGUUUUGUUGGGAAAAAGAUACACCACUUUAAAGUUUCAUGAUUUGGAGUCAGCCAGUGAAAAUUUUGGAUUCCGUGGAGGGGCGUUAGCGUUAGCUUCGAUAUCAGAUAAUCUC